GAUGAACGCUGGCUACAGGCUUAACACAUGCAAGUCGAGGGGAAACGACGGGGAAGCUUGCUUCCUUGGGCGUCGACCGGCGCACGGGUGAGUAACGCGUAUCCAACCUGCCUCUGACUGAGGGAUAACCCGUCGAAAGUCGGCCUAAUACCUCAUGGCAUCGUCUGCGGGCAUCCAACGACGAUUAAAGAUUUCAUCGGUCAGGGAUGGGGAUGCGUCUGAUUAGCUUGUUGGCGGGGUAACGGCCCACCAAGGCGACGAUCAGUAGGGGUUCUGAGAGGAAGGUCCCCCACAUUGGAACUGAGACACGGUCCAAACUCCUACGGGAGGCAGCAGUGAGGAAUAUUGGUCAAUGGGCGAGAGCCUGAACCAGCCAAGUAGCGUGCAGGAUGACGGCCCUAUGGGUUGUAAACUGCUUUUAUGCGGGGAUAAAGUGCAGGACGUGUCCUUCAUUGCAG
rnacentral:rRNA from 1 species